rnacentral:rRNA from 1 species
AGUGAACGCUGGCGGUAGGCCUAACACAUGCAAGUCGAACGGCAGCACAGUAAGAGCUUGCUCUUACGGGUGGCGAGUGGCGGACGGGUGAGGAAUACAUCGGAAUCUACUUUUUCGUGGGGAUAACGUAGGGAAACUUACGCUAAUACCGCAUACGACCUACGGGUGAAAGCAGGGGAUCUUCGGACCUUGCGCGGUUGAAUGAGCCGAUGUCGGAUUAGCUAGUUGGCGGGGUAAAGGCCCACCAGGGCGACGAUCCGUAGCUGGUCUGAGAGGAUGAUCAGCCACACUGGAAGUGAGACGCGGUCCAGACUCCGACGGGAGGCAGCAGUGGGGAAUAUUGGACAAUGGGCGCAAGCCUGAUCCAGCCAUACCGCGUGGGUGAAGAAGGCCUUCGGGUUGUAAAGCCCUUUUGUUGGGAAAGAAAAGCAGCAGGUGAAUACCCCGCUGUUCUGACGGUACCCAAAGAAUAAGCACCGGCUAACUUCGUG